ACUGGUUUCAGUUUUCUUAUUUUUUUUCUCUGAAUCACGAUUAGGGUUUCUAUUUCAUUUCUCCAUCACAAUAUCCUAUUUUCGUAUUUCCUAUCUCCUUUAAAGGUUGCCGCCACUCUUGUCGAAAGACUCGCGGAAGGCUCACCACUCGAAGGCUUUGCCGCAUUCUGCCGCCGCCACUUUGCCAUUGCCACCCUUUGUCGUCGCCACCCUCUGCCGUCGCCGCACUCUACCAUCGCUGGAAAGAAAAGCAAAUCUGCAACCUAAAGGUACGUUUUUCCCUUACCCUUUCAAAAGAAAUUGAAAAACCUUGGUAUAGCAGCAUUGGAAGAACGAAGGAGAAGAAGGGGGAGCAAAACGACGCCGUUGAGGCGGGAGCCAGAGGAGGACGCACCUGAGUUCCCGAAGGAGUCGAUGGAGUUGCCGGCGGAGGAGAGGGCGAGGGCGGGAGGUCGUCGUCGAAGAGAGAGUAUUCGAGGAAGGACGUCGUGGACAGCGAGGGGGGUGGAUAAGAGGUCGGGGUAGCUGAGGGGGGUGUGGUCGAGGGAGAAGUUGGUGGAGGAGUUGUCGGUGACGAAGAUGGUUUUGGCGGCAAGAAGGGUAGGGAGGCGGGCGUAGCGGGGGAGGAAGAGGAGGUCGGAGAAGGGGAGACGCUAGGGGACAACGUGAUAGGGGAGUAGGAAGGGGAUCCAGCGGAGGACGAAGGUUGCGUGAGAUGAAUAGUGUGGCUUUGAACUAAAUCAGUUUUCUAAACUGUAUUAGUGUAACUGAACUAAAAUUAAGUUCAGUUCCUUUGAACUACUUUUUUAGUUCAAUUCAGUUUUUUUAAUUAUUAUAUAGUUAACUGUAAUUGGUUAUAAUACAGUUCAAAUAGUUCAGUUUGCUCACCCCUAAGCAUAAAACCUUUAUAAAUGUCAAUUUGCUUUACAUGAUUGAUAAUCAAUAUUUGUAAGCUUAAACAAAUGGGCACUGAAUUUGUAGGCAUUGCAUUUUUGAAAUGGUCGUGUCACUGUGCAAAAGUCGCACUGCUUCAUCACUUAAUUUGUUUGCCAAUACUCUUCGCCGAUUCUCUAUUGGUACAUUCGUUUCUCCUUUCUCCUUUAAUUCUCAGCAACAAGAACAUUAGCUUCGUAGUAUUUGUACAAAUGGUGCAAGAUGGAGAAAAUAUUGGAAAAAGUCUCCCCUUCUUUGGGUUUCUUUUUGUGACUGCUCUUCAGUUUAGUUGCAUAGCUUUGCACAAAUUACUUAGAUUGCUUUACACCCUAGCCUUAUAGUAAUAAAGUCGUAUUGUUUUCAAUGUUGUUUAGUGGUGGCUUAAGAAAUCAUCAUAUAUAAACACUGUCAAGUAAAGUAAUAGCUUUGUUCAUGCUCUACUGCAAAAUAAUGUUGUUUUAAGUAGCAUUAGGUACACUUGUUAGAAGAGGAACCAAAGAAAAUUCAUAUGGUUACGUUUUAAAAUUAAAGAAAAUAGAACAUUAUGGGGUGAGAAAUGUGAACAUUUUACUUUGUCUAUGGGCUAAAUGCUAUCCAAAAUGGAAAUUAUGGCCUCUAUGCUGCGCUUGUUUCUUUCGCUGGAGUUUUGUUACAUGCAUUUCUGCCUUUUUCACAAGGGUGAAAACACCAGUGCUCAAAGAACGCCAGAGAGUAUAGUGAAUCAAAUGAUGUAUUCUGACAUAAACUCACGAAUUGGGAGUUGCAUGCCACUGCCUACAAUGCGAAUUGGAACAAUCAUUCACAACAUUGAAUUGAACCCAGGGUAAGGUGGCAAGCUUGUCCGAGCUGCAGGAACUAGUGCAAAGAUCUCGAAAGAGCCCACAUAAGCAUAUUGUUUAAUCCAGAUGUCCUCUGGUGUUAAAAAGUUAAUUGAUUCUCGGUGUAGGGCCACCAUUGGGCUUGUGUCUAAUCCAAGCCAUGGGGAUCACAAGCUUAGGAAGGUCGGACACAGACGAUGGCUUAGUCGAAGACCUGUUGUUCGAGGAGUGGCUAUGAAUCCCGUAGAUCAUCCUCAUGGGGGAGGAGAGGGUAAAAGCAAGAGUGGUGGAAAAUGGGGAAGAGGAUCUCACUCCUUGUGGCAAGCCAACCAAGGGGGGCUAUAAGACUGGACCCCUGAAGCGCAUAGGUUAGUAGUAGUAUAUAUAGCAUUCACUAUAGCUGCUUCUGAUGCUUCCUCACAAGAUGCUUGUAAUAAUUGUAGAAGCUUUCAUUCCUGCUUAGAAAAUUUAUGGAAUUGAUUAGAUUCAAUCAAAGUGUCAAUUUUAUGGGUUCAAAUUUUACUGUUGCUAAAGUAAAAUGCUUUUGCAUUUUCUCUGAACUGGUCUUGAAGUCAACUUAUUACACUUCCAUUGGUUUGGACUAAGUUUGUUGACUUGCUUAAAUGAGACAACGCUUUUUGUUUCUUUUAUCCUUCUGCUUUGUAUUGAUGAGAGGAAAAUAUGUUGAUGCUUUUCCUUUGAUAAUGUUUUCGAGAUAAAGAAAUAAAUUAAUUUUAACACAAAGUGGGAAAGAGGGAGGGAGAAUGAAAGGGAAAGGGAAAGCAACUGAAGAUGCUUGUAACUUCUGUUAUCCUUCUGUUUUAUAUUGACCACUUGUCUUUCUUUUCUUCAAUUCACAGCAAAGUUAGAGAGCGAAAGGGAAAGCAACCGAAUACGCUUGUAACUUCCCUAAUUACAAAUUUACCAUUUUCACUACGAAUCUCGAGGGUUUUAUUGGAAUUGAAAGAUCCCUGAUCGAUUCUGAUUCGGAAAAUGCCUUCUUCAAGUGCAGCCGAUGUUGGAUCCAUCGACCCCACAACUGCAAGAUAAAACACCAAGCAACCCAAGGCUUGAUGUAAUCUUGAAGAUCUGUAUGACCAGAGGUUUGGAGAAGCAAAGUAGCGGAUGCAAUCCAAUGGAACAGUACCAACAAUGUGAUUCCAGUACAGAUCUGGAUUGUUUGCAGAAACGAAACUUGGUGGAGAUAUGGAGGAUGUUGGCAGCAGAGGUUGUGUUUGCAGAGGUUAGAUGAAAUGGAGGAUAGCUUGAAGAGGUGAAUCACAACUCAGAAGGCCCCCACACUAGGAAGGAAGUUGCAAUGGAGAAGCAAGCAUUGAAGUGACUCUCGGACAUGAGAAAGUGUCUAUGCAUUUCAACAGAGUUUCUCUAAUAUCAUCCAAUGUGCUAAAUGUGCUAGCUUCUAGAAACCAUAUGGAGUACACAUUUAUUUUAAUUCUAAUAUAAGAAAGUUCCCGGUGCACCCUCUAUCAAGCUAAUCUCACCCCUGCAUGUGCAUAAAGGUCUCUUUUACCCCUCUCCAUGUUUUUGGGUUGUUCUUUAUUUGGUGGGCUUGGCCCCCGCAUAUCAUCCCCUCCCCCUUGGAAAGGAUUUGUCCUCAAAUCUGAUGGUUCGCCUGAGGACUUAUUUUUGUAGACUUCACUAGAAUUCCUCCAAGGUCAAAUAUCCACCUGCAAUAAGCAUUAAACAUAUCACUAAUUAGUUUUCUAUGACCCAACAAAAUAUAUAAAAGAACAUGUUUAGAAGAAGGUUUCUUAAUUUUAAAAUGUUCAAGUUUAAUACUAUGAAGAAACCUUUCUUCUUUUGAAAUUUUAUUUGUCUCUUGAGUUAGUGGUACCCAUAAAAGUAACCCUAACCCAAGUUGUGAAUUGCCAUGUAUUGAAGGUUUUAUUAUUUUUAAAGAUGGCAUGGNAAAUUCUUGGAGAGAAAAGUGAUAUUUUGGACUUUCAAAANUAAAUGAAGAAAAGUGAAAGGAUAGUAAACCUCCCCUUAAUAGUUUUGAUUCCAUUGUGGUUGGAGGAGAUAUUGCUCUUAGUUGCUUUUGUUCACUUUCUUCCACUUCUUUUCUUUCAAUUUCUUCUUUGUCUUCUCUUUCUUUUUCUUUUAUUCUCUCUUCCUCUUUUCUUCUCUCUUCUUCUCUCUCUUCUUCCUCUCUUUUUCUUCUGUCUUCUUCUAUCUCUUCCUCUCUUUUUCUUCUCUCUAAUUCUAGUCUUCUUUGAUUUUCUUCUUUCAACUUUCUUUCUUUUUCUUUUUCAUCUAUUUCCUUGUUAAGGCGCAUUUGUGCUUGAUCAUCCGCCACUUGUGAUGAUGAGAGAGGAUGAAGUACAAAUUUAUUCUCAUGAUGAUGCACAAUUAUGGUAUUGGUAAGACCAUUAUGAAUUGUUUUAUGAUCAAAUUGCCAUGGUCUUCCCAAUAAAACAUGACAAAUUUCCAUUGGAACUACAUCACAUAAAACUUUGUUUUUAAAAUUGCCAAUGGAAAUUGUUACUGUGACUUGAUCCUUGACUGUGAUAUUCCCAUCUUUAUUGAUCCAAUGUAUUUUAUAAGGUUUAGGAUGGGGUUGUACAACAAGAUUUAAUUUUUCAACUAAUCUAGUGCUACAGCAGUUAGAGCACGAACCACUAUCAACAAUGAGAGAACAAGUGUUACUUUGAAUUUGACAUCUUGUGUGAAAGAGAGUCUCUCUUUGUGAUAGUUGUUCUACACUAGAUUGGUUGUGAAAUAUUUUUUUGAUCAUGAGCAGCUAUCCUUCACAAGGAUAGACUUCCUCAGUAGUGGAUUUUUCUUGAUCACUCUCAUUCUCACUAUUGGAAGAUUCACUACUAUAACUGUCAAUGCCCCUCAAUAUGAUAGUUCUUUUGGUGGGACAUUGUGCAACUAUAUGUCCUCUUCCUAGACAUUUAAAACACUUGAUCUCACUGGUGCGAGUGUGUGAAGAGGAUUCUUGUUUAGGUUUCUCAUCAAUUUUGGCUAGAGGAUUGAAAGGCUCCUUUUCUUUUAAACCUUUUCUUUCAAAAGAAUGUUGAACUUGAGCUCUCUUAAGAGAGGUUUUUCUUAAAUUUUGUUGCUCUACCUUGAUACACAUUUGGACAAGACUAUCUAAAUCUAUAUAAGGUAGUAAUUCAACCUUAUCUCUGAUUUCAUAAUUAAGCCCACUAAAAAAUCUAGCCAUUGUGAGUUCAUCUGUUUCCUCAAUUCUUGCCCUCAUCAUAUACAACUCCAUCUUUUGUCUAUAUUGUUCUACAAACAUAUAAUUUUGUUGUAGUCUUAGGAGUUUAUCCAUAAGCUCUCUAUGGUAAUAUGAUGGAAUAUGUCUCCUCCUAAGGGCAGUGAUCAAGUCAUUCUAAUAUUGUAUUGGAGGAUUUUGGUGGCGCCUUCUUUCUUCCACUAUGGCAGUCCACCAAUACAUGGCAUACCCUUGAAAGCUUAGGGUAGCUAGGGAACCUUACUUUCUUCACUAACUUGGUGGCAAGCAAAAAGUUGCUCCACCUUCAUUUGCCAAUCUAAGAAAGCCUCUACAUCAUCCUUUCCAUGGAAAUGAGGCACGUUAAUAUUGACUUCUCUAGGGUGAGGAGGUUCUUGGAUUUCCCUCCUAUGUCUUCUAAAAGAAGAAUAGUCUCCAUCAUAAUCUCCCAUUCUAAAAUCCUCUACCUCAUGGUGAGAAUCUCCACUCCUACUUCCCCUCAUUCUCCCUUGCUCAUCUCUCAUGACUCUCAACUCAUCUUGAAUUAUGGUGAUUUGCCUUUCCCUAUCUUGUUGAGCAUAAUCCAUCUUUCUUUCAGUGUCGAUUCUCCAUUGAGUUAGCUCUCUAAGUUGUUUUGAAAUAUCUUUGAGAGUAACUUGUUCCUCAGAAUCACUAACUCUUGGAGAUUGAUGCUUUGACAUUUUGUGAUUCUAAAAGUUUUCUUGUGUUACAACUUACUUAGAUUUCACCCAAGAACAAAUUCCAGGUAAGGGAGGUGAACCACUAGGGUUGCUUAAGUACCAAGCCUUGUCCUUGCCAAAAAUGUUCUAGGCUACUUAGUAGUUAUUACUCCAAGAUUACUUCUAAGAUCACAAAAGAAGACUCAAACACAAAGCAAAGAAGUAGGACUCUAAAUUCGGACUCUAGAAGAGAUCCCUAGACGAAAAAUUGAAAACAAAUGGUAAAUUGAAGGAAACUUAAAGACAAUGGAAAUAUAAAAGUGAGGUCUCCUAGGUGAGGCUUAGACUUUGGAUCUAAGACACACUCACCGUCUACCAAUUUUUAGGUUAUGAGACUUUAAGUCAAGUUAGCAAAUGAGGGAAGAACACUUAUGAGCUCUUCCACUUCACUUGCUUGAAAUGGCCCUUUACACACAAAGAACAAAUGAACUUUUACAAGAAAGAACUAUAUGAAAUGAAAAGGAAAUGAAUUGACAAAAGGAGUAAAUGAUGUAUGCAGCUCUAGCUUCUCAAAAACAGUGAGUGAAUUGAUUGAAUUCACACUAAACUCUCAGCUGCAAGGUGAAGAUAACUGUGUAUGGAUGACUCUGCUGCUGUAUGGAUGACAGUACUGUUACUGUUUGAUGUGUCAAACGCUGCUGCAACCUUGUCCGUGAAUCCACUUCAUGACGUUGUCUCUCAAGCACUGAACUCCCUUUGAUGCUUCCUCGUGUAAUGGAUAAUCUGAACUGUAUCACACCUAUUCAAUCAACACAAAUCAUCAAUGCAAUUUACCUCACUGCUGUCAGAGAAUUGCACCCAAAAACCAGUACAGCACAUACCUUUUAUCAAACAGGUUGUGUGCAAGAGUUCCAAAAAAUUUGAAAUCAAGAGAUUAAUCAGGUAGCAAACACGGUAACACUUCAAAAGGAUCCUAAGAAUAGUUCUAAAGUAGAUUGGACCAAAAACAAUGAUUAACAGCCAAUAAAUCGAUCAAAAUAGCAGUGCUCUAGAAAUUUCACAAUCUAUUUGUCAUAAUGCCUCAAAGAACAGUGAAUUUGGAUGCAGAAAUUGGUCAAUCAGUCUCGGCAGUUUUUCAUUUUAUUGGAUGCAAUGGUUCUUUCAGCUUUUUAAUGUGUCUAUCUUAUUGUUUGGACAAUCUUGAAUGCAUUUUUUUUAAUGGAACCAAGCUUUUACUACAUCCAUGAGUACUGACCAAUCACCACAUUCAAUCUAAAUUUUGAAAAAAAGAAAAGUACUGCACUGCUACAGAUUUAACCAGAAUUUACCCAAAAUUUGGCAAGUCCUAUAGGCAUUUUGCAUAUAACAGCAACUACUCAUCUUAAACUGAUGCAAACAUGUUUGAAUGAUUAAAACAAACUUGUUUGAACACAAAUUCUGCUAAAAUUCAAGGUGUAACAAAAAUUGAGUAGGUUUGUGCUACUGCAAGCUAUUUGAAGCAACUAGGAUAGCCAAAUUUUGCAAACCAUGGUAAUUCAGUUUGAACACAACAGAAAUGAACUCAAUACAACCAAAGAAAAUUUCUCAAAAUGGCAGAAGUAUCAAUUAGAUGAUUGGCAAUGAUCUAGUGCUCAAUCCAAAACCACACGCAGAAUUAACUCAAUCAACAAUUGCAGCUCGGUUUAUUGCUAAUGUAAUUUAAGUUGGAACUUUCCAGCAAUGUCACCAGGCGAAUUGCAGAGCAAUAUCAUGCUCCUUUGGUGCUUAUUCUAGAUCAGCAUCAUGACAACUUCAAAAUAGCAACACAGACCAGAUUUAGUCAAGAAAACUCAUGACUGAUUGCUGGAACAAAAUCAACGCAACACGCUGCACAAUUUUAGCAAAGAAAUCUGAUUGAAUGACACCAAAUCAUGCACCUGAGCUAUUCAUAGAUAUGGUCAUGGCUCUUUGAUAGUGCAGAGUAUAUCAUUUUCCAAUCAAAAUUUCACAGGUGCAGCCACGUAAAACCAGAUUUGAAAGACAUUUUUAAGCAACUAUACAUGACUUAUGACACAACCAUAUAUGAUGCUCAAAUUAAAGACUCAAACAACAACAUUAACCGAUUAAAAUGCAAAGGACUCAAGCAAAAACGCAGCUAGCACAGAAAAAGACUCAAACAGAACCUAAAUCAAGAUCAAAUGAAUGGAACAGAUGGAAAACAGAUUCAAAGACAUUGCAGAAUUUGUUGACAGUACGGAAAUAGAAGAAUGACACUUAUCUCACGGUGUAGCUUGAACCUUGCUCUGAAUACCACUUGAUACAUCAAGGCUUGAUGUAAUCUUGAAGAUCCGUGUGACCAGAGGUUUGGAGAAGCAAAGUAGCGGAUGCAAUCCAAUGGAACAAUACUAGCAAUGUGAUUCCAGUACAGAUCUGGAUUGUUUGCAGAAACGAAACUUGGUNNNNNNNNNNNNNNNNNNNNNNNNNNNNNNNNNNNNNNNNNNNNNNNNNNNNNNNNNNNNNNNNNNNNNNNNNNNNNNNNNNNNNNNNNNNNNNNNNNNNNNNNNNNNNNNNNNNNNNNNNNNNNNNNNNNNNNNNNNNNNNNNNACAACUCAGAAGGCCCCCACACUAGGAAGGAAGUUGCAAUGGAGAAGCAAGCCUUGAAGUGACUCUCGGACAUGAAAAAGUGUCUAUGCAUUUCAGCAGAGUUUCUCUAAUAUCAUCCAAAAGUGAAUACAUGGGUAGCCAAGGUGAGUUUUAUAGACUCCUCAACCUUUGGCUUGGUGAUGAAAAACGUGUUCAUCUAAGAUGGAUCACGUUCCAAAUUUAUAAAACAUGUGCUAAAUGUGCUAGCUUCUAGAAACCAUAUGGAGUACAUGUUUAUUCUAUUUCUAAUAUAAGAAAGUUCCCGGUGCACCCCCUAUCAAGCUAAUCUCACCCUUGCAUGUGCAUAAAGGUCUCUUUUACCCCUCUCCAUGUUUUUGGAUUGUUCUUUAUUUGGUGGGCUUGGGCCCCGCGUAUCAUUUUCAGUGACCCUUUUCUCUAUUUUUGGUUUGUGGUAGAACUUUCGUAUUUGUUUUUGUUUGAGUUAAAUUGAGUAUGUGUUAGGGGAAAAAAGGGUUUUGGGUUUUAUUUAGGUGCUUAUGAAAGGUGUGUCGCUUGUGAUAGUUCCCGUGAUAGUAUUUAGUGCCUGAUUGUUCCUAGAUUGAUAUAACCUUUGAUGGAGUUCUAUUUCAUGAAGAUACGAUACUUUGUGGAAGCUAAUGUCCAUUUUUUUUUAUUUGAUUUGAUUUUCGGGUGUCGGUAUUUGUGUUCCAAGAGGCUUCUGAUGUGAAUCGGUGUUUGUGACUUAAUGGAGGAGUUUCAUGUAGUUGGAUAGUGUGUGAUGAUUUGACAAUAGUUUUUUUUGUUUCUUUUUGCUCUUUUAGGUAGCAACAGGAAAUUGAACUGAUUAGAGCUCUUUUUGAAAAUAUAAUGCCUUUCAGAUUCAAAGUUUACCUAGCAAGAACUUCCAGCGUGUAAGCCAAUUCUCACUCCACGAGCGGUAACACUAACCACUACGUUUUUUUAAUUCACUGCUUGUGACUAUAUGUGUACUGAAAUGCAUUUGAUUCCUUUUCUGUUGUCGUGAUAUUUCUGGUACUCAACAUUGUAUUCGUUCCAAUUGGAGUUGCUUCGCUAAUUGCUUCGAGGAAGGUUAUGUUGAGUGCUGUAAAUUUGGUGACCUUCUGCUCAUAGUUGUAUAUAAUGCUGAGUUCAACUUUCAUUUUCUUGUAUAUGUCAGGUUGUUGAAAUUGUUUUUAGGUAUGAAUCAACGUGCAUACCAAAUAAUGUUACUGACAAGGUAGCAUACAUUCAAAGUUCUGCGAGUAAAGCAUGCAACAUAACACUACAUGUAAAUCUCCUUCCCACCUAUUUAUCCAUUUCAUUUAACUCAAAUCUUUCUAUUAAAUCUGUUCCCAUGAUUUACAAUGUUAGCAAAAAGUUAAAGAUGGAGUUUUGAUGAUGUACAAAUUUGCACAAUACAAGAUCCAAGAAGACUAUUUGAAGAUUCAUUAUUGUUGAAAGCUUUUGUAAUAAUCAUAGUUGAUGUGCUUUUGCUUAGAUAUGUAAUAAGGUUUGAUUCAUGUACUCUAUAUGUGAUUAAUUUCUAUUUAGAAUCAAACACAAGUUGUUUUAAUCGAUUAAACCAAGUUAUAAUUGAUUAAAACGAGGUUGGCACUACAAAC
rnacentral:lncRNA from 1 species